CACUCAGCAGAUCUCAGUGGAAGACCUAAAAGUUGUCCUGAGGCAAACAUUUGCCUGCUUUUCUUUGGAAGCUCAGCAGCUGUGAUGAAUGAGCGGCUUUCUCUUCAUCAGUGAUCCUCUUCUCGGGAGGAAAGGAGGGACUAAAGUCUCCUGGUAUAUUGGUGGAACACUGUUUGGGAUGUCAAGAUGUGAAUACCAUCGGGCUGUGAAAUGAAGCUACAUAUGUAAUGUCAUUGAAUAUUCUUUUGGAGAAGGCUAGAGUGGAGGGGAUUCAGCUGUGAGUCAGGGUCAGGAGGAAGAAUGGGAUGCCAAAUGACUUCACCCUCUCCUUUGCCUACACGGAAACCUUUGCACAGUUCAGCUGCAUUCUUGCACUCUGACAGCCAUACUAUGACAAUUCCUUGAAUAUGCACAACAGUCCUAGAAGUUGGGAAAGUUAAUUUUUAGCAUAGGUUGCAUGGUCACUGUUGCACAUAUGAGGAGUGGGUCGCUAUGAUUGUAUUGUUACUUUUCUGCCUUGGUUACCCUAAUAUUCUUAAUGCUGGAAUCAUAUUGCCCACUGGCAAGAGUUUAUACUGGAGGUUUGCUCUCUGAACUGCAAAUAUGCAUACUGCUAGAAUGGGAGAUGGAUCUUGACAAUCAGUAUUUAUCCAUUUUGCAAUACACUGUGCCUAAUGUAACAGCCUAGGACAAGGAAAAUGGUCAGGCUGAUAAGUAAAUAUUGUCCUUUUCUUCUGAUACUUACCUAUAUCAUCUUGCAUACUCCAGAA